UUAUUUAAUGUAUUGUAAAUUAUAUAAUAUUUUCACAACUGAGAAGAUAUUUUAAUGGCAUAUUAAUAGAUUUUUUUAGUGGUUAACAGGCUUUGUUAUUUUUGUUUGUAGAAACCACGUUAUGACCGUAGGUUCUGCAAAACACCUAAUUUUCGUUACAUGUGGUAUUGUGUAUCAUUCCUUCGGUGUCGGUACAGUGGUAUACUUUUAAGAGAUCGUGUUAACCUGUCACAAUCAUCACAAGAGAGAAUCGGCACAAGAGAUAUAGUGUGUAGAGUGAGUGGGGUAGAUUGUUUACCUGUCACAAUCAUCACAAGAGAGAAUGGCACAAGAGGUGUAGAGUGUUCAGAGUGAGUGAGAGCCAUUCAUUUCAACAAAGUGGAUGGAUUUAUCAUUCUCACGAUCAUCAUAUCGUUUGAAGAUUCAGGAAACAUUUGGAAUUCCAGAACAUAACUACUAUAGAGAACUGUAUGUGAUGUUGUGUACAAUCAACAAAACUGGGUUUCUUGAUUGACACUUAAUAGAACUAUUUAAGCUAAGUGGUGUAAGAAUACCGGAGAGAUUUAUAUUAUUAUUGGAGUAUAAAUAAGCAAAUAUAAAACCCGAACCCACCUCUUCGUGACUUAUUCUGAAUUUAUUUUAUAAUGGGUAAGCCAGAAGGAUACAUUAGCAUUGUGUUGUAAAGUUGUACUUGAAAUUAAAGAAAACAAACAAUACGUUAUUGCGAAUGACAUGUUUCUGUUACUGAUAACAGUUGUUGUAAAUACAGCCGUUUCUGUAUUUAGCGAAUAUAGUUGGAGACUUUCUACGUGGGAUCCUCCAAUGAUUUUGACUUGUUCAGAAUUAUGCAAAUGUAUCGUAUCGACACUAUUAUACCAUGGACAACCAAAGCCGAUAUCUUUUAAGAAUAUUAAAAUUUGGGCGAUUCCAGGAUUGCUUUAUAUGGCAUUGAACACAAUGAGCGCAUUCGCCUUCAAAUAUUUGCCCUCCCAUUUCAUCAUCACUGUAUCAAAUCUGAAAAUUGUAUUUUCCAUGCUUAUUUCCACUUACUUUUUGAAGCAAACAUUUACAAAGCAACAAUGGAUUGCAGGAAUGACUAUUAUGUCGGGACUUGUAAUCAUUUAUCUAAAUCCGUUGGACGACGAUCUUACAAUAAUGUGGUUUUCAGUUAUAUUUGGUUUAUGUUCGGGUCUAUUAUCAGCGGGCGCUGGGGCGUUCUGUGAAUAUCUGUAUUCUAUGGACCCGGAUGAAUCUAUUCAUGCACAAAAUGUUAAAUUAUAUUCUUUCGGAAUUUUUUUUAAUCUCCUCAACUUUUUGGCGCGUUCACAUAAUGCUUUUAAGUUCCAUUGGACACAAGUCAUCUUGAUAUUGCAAUAUGCAUUUGCAGGCAUUUUGGUGUCAUUUGUUCUCAGAUAUUUGGGGAAUGUUGUUCGUUAUAUUAUUGGUGCGUUGACUGUUUUGUCAGUAGCAGUAGCGUCACAUAUAUUGCUAGGUAACAAAAUCACACCUAAUUUUGCCGGCGGUUCAUUGUUUGUCAUCUGUGGAACGCUGAUGUAUAAUUUUGGAAAGAAAACAGUAGACAAGGACAUAAUAGUCGAGGAUGAGAAUGAUGGUACCUAGCAUGAAGAUGUAUUUAGAAAGCUGGCAAUUAUCUAAUACUUUCUAUUCUGGAGCUACGUACACACGAUAAUAAUAAUGAAAAUUAUAAUAAUAAUAAAAGAAAUAAUAAUA